GGGGGAGAAUGUGACAGGUGAGACCUGAGUCUGGGAACCGCCCCUGGUGGGCGGAGCGGGUCUUUGCCCCUUUCAUAAGCUCAGGUGUGGGCAAUUAGGUAUCCUCUAGCAAACCUGAAGCUGCGAGUGCUUGGUCCAAGCUGGGCAAGUUGGUGUUUUUUUAAAAAAUUUCUUUCUAUGAAAGCUUGAUGCGGGUCCCCCUAAACUUCUGUUAGAACGGUGGGAAACAUUGCGUUCCUGUGAGAGUAGUGGACUUCACCACCACUGACCCACAUUUAUUAGGGUGUGACGCGAACUUGUGGACAGAUGGUGAAGGCGCUGCGUGGAAAACAAAUCCCUUUUUUGUCUUGCCGCUUUUUGCAUGCACAGCGGUGGGCCUGAGUGAAGACGGCACUGAAGAUUUGCCUUUUUCUAUAGUGUCUUGCCCAUUUGGGGUUAUGUGUGAGUUGCCGUCCCUUUUUAACUUGUGUGAUAUGUUGAUUUGUUCUUAAACGGUUCCCCGCAGUGCUUAUCCUGUCUCACGGGCAAUCAUACAGUUUUAUCGUUUUUUAUCGUAUUUAAUAAAGUAAGGUUUUUAAUUGUUUUUA